GAAAAGGGAAGCCUUAUAAAUCCACUUCUGCACUGUACCUGUGUUUCUGAGAAGUAUAGUGGGACUCACACAAUUAAAAAGCUCAUCUUACAGAUAUUAGAGCUCAGUGUGGAUGUUGAGCUCUUGAAAAGGGAAAUUAAGUGUGUGAACCACUGUUGUGAUUCUGUUUUUUAAGUCCAGGUUGUUUGUCUUCUGGAUUAUUAUGCCUUUAAUCGGUUUCACUUCCUCAAAGAAGGAAAUCAGAAGUUCCUCUAUCACUGAUUCUGGUUCAGCUUCUGUUUCUCAGGGAAAGGUACAUCUGCUGUAGUCCUACUGUACAGAGAAUCUCAUUGGGACUCAUUCAUAAUAUCUAAUAUAAUUCUAUGUUCAGAACAAAAGAUUGUGCUGACAAUUGAAAUUUGUUUCAUAAACUGUACCAAACAAAUGUUUACAUGCUUCUUAUACCUUUGUAUUUGUGAAUUUUACUAGUCUUUUCAAUGCAUCUUGAAAAGGAAAUCUUGAAAACUGGGAUCAGGCUGUAAUUUGUCCAGAGUUACUGUAGUAGAAGUAGAAAAUCAGAGCUGUCAGAAAGCGUAAUGCCCAAUGUUGUGCAUCAGAAUUGUCACUAAUAGGUCAAUAAGGAUAUACCACAGCAAUUCAGAAAGAAUGAGAUUUCAGCAGCUAGAGAUCCUGCCAUCUCCUCUUUUGAUGUACAUUUUUUCUCUUUUACUUGCGUGAUUACAUUUGCAUUAGUGAGCAGGUCAGAUUUCAUGUAAUUCAGUUGUUUAAUCCCGAAAGGAACCUGUGUGACCAGCUUUUUGAAAAGUAGAGUAUAAAUGCUUGUCAUUGUGUUUCGGGUGAGGGAUGUUGGUUCAAUUUUACCUUGCGCUGUUUCCUCUAAGCUGCUUCCUACUGUAUUACUGUACUCUCAGCAUCCUGCCUGCCUUCUUGUGUUCCCUACACUACACUUAACAAUAAUAAUAUUUUAUUAUGGGUAGAAUGUAUUAUAUGAAAUGGAAAACCUUGUCUGUGCCUCUUAUUGGCAAUUAUCAUAACAAUCAGAAAGUGUUUCAGAAAGAAUGCUUCCUUGAAUCAGUAUUUCCUGCCUAAUCCAUUUGUGAUUUAUGUUUUAUUAUAAAGAUGUGCAGGGUUAAGAGAACAUUGUAUAUUUUAAAUAAAGGUGAAAACUAAGCUGUCUGUGUUUACUGU
ensembl:lncRNA